rfam:Dasypus novemcinctus telomerase RNA gene, sequence.
GGGUUGCGGAGGGAGGGCCCGGGAGGGGUGAGCGUCCAUUAUCGUCUAACCCUAACUGAGAUGGGCGUAGGCGCCGCGCUUUUGCUUCCCGCGCGCUGUUUUUCUCGCUGACUUUCAGCGGGCGGAAAAGCCUCGGCCUACUGCCGUCUACUGUCGUAUCUGGAGCAAACAAAAAAUGUCAGCCGCUGGUCCGCUCGCCCCAUCCGGGAACCUGCGGUGGCUCGUCCGCCCUGCCCCCGCGCUCCGCCUAGAGGCCGCGGUCCGCCCGGGGCUUCUCCGGAGGCACCCAAUGCAGCCGCGAAGAGUUAGGCUCUGUCAGCCGCGGAUCCCGCGGGGGCCAAGGGUGAGGCUUAGGCCGCGGGCCGCAGGAAGAAAAACCGAGCGAGUUCUCACGCGCGGUGCGCUUCCCUGAGCUGUGGGUCGUGCGCCUGGGACUCGGCUCAGACACGU